rnacentral:rRNA from 1 species
UCCUGGCCUUAUUAUCUACUGUUUCCCAACUUACACAUGCAAGUCUCAGCACACCCGUGAGAACGCCCUUUCAACCUCCACCAGGCAAAGGAGCUGGUAUCAGGCACAGGUCCUUGCCCAUAACACCUAGUCUCAUCACACCCCCAAGGGUCAUCAGCAGUGAUUAACUUUGCGCAUAAGCGACAGCUUGACUCAGUCAGGGAAAAUAGGGCCGGCUAACACGGUGCCAGCCGCCGCGGCUACACCGUGGGCUCAAGUUGAUAAUUACCGGCGUUAAGCGUGAUUAAAGUUCUCAGAGAUUAGGAUUAAAUUAAUACUUAGUAGUUUUAUGCUUGUUAUUAAGAAAUACACAAACGAAAGUUAUCCUACCCACCUUGAAUACACGACAGCUAGG